rnacentral:rRNA from 1 species
AGCAUCCGCGGUAAUUCCAGCUCCAAUAGCGUAUAUUAAAGUUGUUGCAGUUAAAAAGCUCGUAGUUGAAUUUCGGGGUCAGUAGGUCGGUCGUGCCACUGGUAUGAACUGGUUUUACUGAUUCCUCCCUCUUGAAGAACUGUAAUGCCAUUAAUUUGGUGUUGCAGGGAAUCAGGACUGUUACUUUGAAAAAAUUAGAGUGUUUAAAGCAGGCUUUAGCUUGAAUACAUUAGCAUGGAAUAAUGAAAUAGGACGUUUGAUCCUAUUUUGUUGGUUUCUAGGAUUGACGUAAUGAUUAAUAGGGAUAGUUGGGGGCAUUAGUAUUCAAUUGUCAGAGGUGAAAUUCUUGGAUUUAUUGAAGACUAACUACUGCGAAAGCAUUUGCCAAGGAUGUUUUCAUUAAUCAAGAACGAAAGUUAGGGGAUCGAAGACGAUCAGAUACCGUCGUAGUCCUUAACCAUAAACUAUGCCGACUAGGGAUCGGAUGAUGUUAAUUUUUUAAUGACUCA